AAACAAGUCAGUCUUCUUCGUUGUAUCUUUAUUUAAUUGUAGUAGAAGUCAAAGUUAUAAUAUGAAUAUCUACAACCUAGCUAUAUUGACCAGCCUUGUCUGUGGUAUCUAUGCUCGUGUGUCACCACGUGGAGAUAAAGGCAUUUCUGGAAAUCUAGUAUCCGGGAUCCCAUGGAAACCUUUAGGACCAAUAACCAGACCAAACUUCUGUUAUGACCAACAAGUCCGUGAAGAUCAAUAUUUUGAUGAUUCUUUCAUAUGUACUGAUAAACUCAACUACCCAGCAAAGGAAAUCAAUUACGCCUUGAAAAUGUCUCAAAAUAGAACAUAUUACAAUUAUAUGAGGAUGGCUGGUAUGUUUAUUUCGGAAAAUAAUUACUUAAUGGAUCACAAAGAGGUCGCAGGUUCGUACUCACUUGACUGCGUAUGUAAGAGUAAUAGAAAAAUCAUUACGUCUGUGAAUUUGAGUGGUCAAAGAUGUCAUAUUGUUAAUCCCGAAGAACAAAAAAUCUACUAUGCGGAUUGCAGUGGUCCCUGUAGUUUGGCAUAUGGUCACGUUGAAGGAUAUUUCUGUGUUAAGCGGGGCUUUGUAAAGAGGACUUUCUUAGCUUAUUGUGAAGAUAACACCGAGGCUUUCAUUCAGUAUACACAUGGUAUGCAGUUCAAGGGUCAUGGUGUUGGAGGUUUCUACUUUAUGGAACAAACUCUACCAACUUAUUGUGGUUGUCGAGGAUAUUUCUGCAAAUAAUUUUGUUUACUGAAAACUACUAUGUAAAAAUUACUAAGUAGGAUCUUUGAAAACCAACAUUUCUUAAAAACUAUUUUCCAAAUCUUUUGAAAUACAUGUAAUGUGCAGUACAAUCUCUACAAAUUCAGAUUUAGGAUUUACAUAUUUAACAAAACUUAAUUAAUGAUUUUGAAGAAACAAUUAUGUAACAAAAAAGGUGUUAACGGUGUAAUUAGUGUAAAAUAUUGUUUAUAAUAUUGUUUUAUUUCAUAUUUGUAAAUACCAUUGUUUUCAUAUCAUGUUGAAUAAAGGUGUGUGCAAUAUUAUGUAUAAUUUAUAUCUUGGAACUUUUGUACAUAAAUA